rnacentral:rRNA from 1 species
UACGAAGGGUGCAAACGUUGCUCGGAAUUAUUGGGCGUAAAGCGCACGUAGGCGGCUUGGCAAGUCGGAUGUGAAAUCCCUCGGCUCAACCAAGGAAGUGCAUCCGAAACUGCUGAGCUUGAGUACUUAAGAGGAUCGCGGAAUUCCCGGUGUAGAGGUGAAAUUCGUAGAUAUCGGGAGGAACACCAGUGGCGAAGGCGGCAUCCUGGACCGGCAUUGACGCUGAGGAGCGAAAGCCAGGGGAGCAAAGCGGG